rnacentral:rRNA from 7 species
UGGUGCCGAUGCGCUUAGGGGAAACACCCGUACCCAUCCCGAACACGAUGGUUAAGACUUAAGCGGCCGAUGGUACUAUGCUGGAGACGGCAUGGGAGAGCAGGUGGGUGCCAGAUU